rnacentral:rRNA from 1 species
UACGUAGGUGGCAAGCGUUGUCCGGAUUUACUGGGCGUAAAGAGCGCGCAGGCGGUCGAAUAAGUCGAAUGUGAAAGCCCCCGGCUCAACUGGGGAGGGUCACGCGAUACUGUUCGACUCGAAGGCAGGAGAGGGAAGUGGAAUUCCCGGUGUAGUGGUGAAAUGCGUAGAUAUCGGGAGGAACACCAGUGGCGAAGGCGACUUCCUGGCCUGUUCUUGACGCUGAGGCGCGAAAGCUAGGGUAGCAAACGGG